GAUGGCUGGGCUUGAUUAGGUAUGUGAAUGUCUGGUGUGUGAAAUAUAAUGGCGACACAUGUUCCCACCAAACUCCAUUUAUACAUUUAUUAUGUGACCAAAUUACGUCUUCUCCUCAUAACAACUACCUCCCAACUAUACCCUGUUCUCCACGCUCUUUGAAUGCUAGCCACUCGUCUCUAUCCCUCCUUCUCUUCUGGCU
rnacentral:lncRNA from 1 species